GAAACUAUUCUCGUGUCAAUGUAAUGAGAAAUGACUGAGAUAAUAGCCAAAAACUAGUUUUUUUAAUAUUAAUUUUGUAACCACCUUUUUGAGACUUCUGCACCAGGUAUGAACAAGUUACUACUUUGAGUGUAUUCAUUAAGGUCUCUUAUAUAGACUGUUUAUGGUUUCAUUUUUCUAGAUGCUAUGUUUCAAAAUGAGAACUGAGUAGUGAAAGAAUAGGUUAUUUACCAAGGAACACAAGCAGGAUGUCAGUGGCAUUGAUGAGACAUUGUUACAUGAUUGUAAAGCUUCAUAUUUAUGCUACCACAGAGGAGUACUAUCAAGAUAGAGAUGAUGUACAUUACAGUAUGUACUGUAUGGUGAUACAUUAAAAUUUGUUGAAAGACUCAUAAUAAUAAUCAAUCUAUUGG
rnacentral:lncRNA from 1 species